rnacentral:lncRNA from 1 species
GUCCAUUUUACACCAGAGUUCUCCUUUAAGGCUGCAAAGGGGGACUCCACACUAAUGACUAUGGGUUUAGAAUGGAAUCAGGCCAUAAAAUCGUCUGGUUUGUCCAUUAAAAGCUUUUAAAUGUGUUUUUGCAGUCAAAUAGAGUCGUGCUCCAGUGCUGGAGACCUCCAGGAUGAGCCUGAGCUCUCACUCCUGCCCGACCCGGAGGAGAUGGACCUUCUCGGGGAAAUCUUCGACACCCUGAGCGCCCAGAGCUCCAGAGAGCCAGGGCUGCUGUACGGAACCCGUAGCCUGGACUUGUUCAACUCGGACUGCUCCGACUUCAUCACCAGAAGGAGCUUGACCACGCCCAGCCAGGAGAGCUUGAACCUUUCUCUCGGUAACAGCGGCAGCCUGAUGAGCUGGGAGGAGGGUCUUGAGGAGAGGCAAGGCAAUGAGGGGGAGGAGCCUGAUCCUGAGGCGGGUGCUGACCAAUCCGAGAAAGAGAGGUUGGGCAAGAGGCAAUCAUUGGAGGAGGCGUCUGUUGAUCUCGGAGGGUUGGUGGAGGAUCUCACUGACUUACGCGAAGACCUUAAAGACGAACUUGGGGAUCUUCAGACCUCAGCACCAGAGCAAGAUGGAAAGUGGGCGGAGCAAAUCAGGAAGGAGGAUGGUUCUGAAGAAAAUCAAAGACAAAACCACGAGAAACAACAUGACAACGAGGAGGUUUCAAACAAUGAGACUCCAAAGGUAGAAGAACUGGAUGCAACUGGGGACUGUUUAGAACCGCAAAAAAAGGAACAAGAAGACAAUAAGGAUGUUUUAGAAUCCCAGAAAGAACAAGAAGCCAAUGAGAUCUCUUUAGAACCACAAAAGGAACAAGAAGACAAUCAGAUAUCUUUAGAACCGCAAAAAGAACAAGAAACCUCCAAGCCAUCUGUAAAAUCCCAACCCAAAGUGGACAUUACCAUCAACGAACCAACUCAAAACAAGGACGAGGACAACCACAACGACGGACCAUCAAGUCCAAGUGUUCUAUCCACAGUUGCUCUGUUCCAGUCCAAGACACCUCAGAGCAGGAUUUUUCCAGAAACCAUCAAACCCGGCUUCGGUCUAAAAGGCUCGGACGCUUCCCAGGCUGGGAAGACCUCCCCAAGAGGCCCCAGGAAAAUCCAGGCUUCUUCCAACAGGAUCAUCAUCAUUCCCAAAGGUGACGACCACGCAGUCAAAUCUCCAGCUGACACACCGACUGAAGAUCAAGACCUGCCCCCAGUGAAGGUGUCAGAAUUGAAAAAGAGGUUUGAACAAUGAUGAUGGCACCCAACUGAACUAAAUGAACAGACUUGAAGAUUUAAAUUGGACUGGAUCAUGUCCACAUACUUUGUACCUGUUACCUGUUAGGGCCUUUUAUCUUAAGCCCUUUCCGGAUGGGAUUCUCAGUUUCUCAGGGUGACACAUGUAAAAAACUUCUGCAUCCUGACUGCAAUUGACUGCCAAAAAAACAGGAGGACCAGUGAGUUUUUCUUGGCUUUCUCGGUCACAUGACAUUGCAGCGUUCAGUUGCUCCUCCAUUUCCACUCUCUGUUGUAGUUUUUAACGUGGAUCUCAAAAGUGUAAUUACGGUGCGCGGCAGUGGACAAAUAAAAAAAAGCUACUUUUUUUAAACGUGAGGUAA